AUACCUCUGUAGGACCCAGAUAAAAUCAUCCUGCAGGUAUCACUCUGUCCCUGAAUGCUGGGAGCUUCUUCUAACAGAGGGAGAGAGACGAGGUUGUUGCAAAGCCACCAGCGCAGAGGAAACCACAGCAGGGGUAUUUAAAGACAAAGAUUAGAGGCUCAUUUCAGAAGAAACCAAUGCAUCGCAGGUUUAAAGGAUUCUUGUCAAGAUGACAACGAAAACAUCCUUACUGUGUCUGCUGGUUCUGACAUCACUGCUGUGCUGCAAGACUCACCAAGCUCAUCUGACCAUGACUCCCAGCAGAUCUCAGUUUUUCCAAGGAGACUCUGUGUCUCUGAGCUGUGAGAAGGACAACAGCUCUGCUGGGUGGACUGUGAGGAGAAAGACAACCUACAGACAAUCUACAUGUGGAGAUGGAUGGGGAGAAGUAGAAGGUUCUGGGUCCGUGUACCUUCAGGCAAUUCGAUUUUUUUCCUCAGGUCCCAGGAGGACCUGAGGAACACACAAGGAGAGGGAAAUGCAACUUCCACUAGGGGCAGAAUAAUCCCCGGGAGGAGGUGAAAGCUCUGAGGUAGUCUACCCUCAGAGCUGAAGAAAGAAGCUAGAAGAAUCGACACAACGCAAGGCAGAGGAAGAGGCGGAGGUGUUGGGAGUUUCCCUCACACCGUGGUGGUUGAGUCCCUCUCCCAAUCCAGAAGACAUCAUGUAUAAGAUUUAAUUUGAAGUAUUACUGUUUUUAGGAAAAUGUGUGUUUUUUCUUUUACUGCUUAUUGCCGUUACAAGACAAAUAAGUAUUUACAAAAUGUGUCAUAACAAACCAGCAAAUUCAGGGUUUUCUACUGCAAUAGUUUAUGGGUGAACUCUUAAGAGUUCAAAAGAGGGGAAUGUGGAAUGCAUUAACUUUGAUCCGUUUCUUACACUUUUAUGAAGGUUUAACAUGUGUUUAUAUGCUUUAAUAUGCUUUUAAGAUAGCUGGCAGAAAGCUUCAAAACCGGGCCUGUUAGUAAGAGAAUUUGGAAUUCUUGGAAUUUGCCAGACGGGUUUCUGUCUUGGACAACCUUUUGUUUAGCUCAAGGUUCGGGGUUGUGGUCAGCGGCUUGCAGGCGAUGACCAGAAGAACCAGUGUAGUGUAGCAGCCUGCAAGCAAUGACCGGAAGAACCAGUACAGUGGGCAGCCAUAGAAGCAACCCUAUAUAGGGUAGAAGUAUUGUUAAGCUGUGUCAUUUGCUCAUGUAACAGUGUGUCAUUCGCUCAUGUAACUCUGUGAGACCCUCCCCUUUGAAGUUAAUAAAAAGAGCCUGCGCAAGGAAGAGGACAGAGUUGUUGCUCGCAGGUGUUGGCUGGUGCAACUUCUCUCCUUUUGCAAAGGUGAAACUUUCAAUUCUGUUUCCUUGGCUAAGUUUUUGUUGCACUCUUAAGUCCUGCACAUGACUCAACGGACCCGGGGAAGCAAGCGGCUUCAA